rnacentral:rRNA from 1 species
CUGGCGGCGUGCUAUACAUGCAAGUCGAGCGAACAGACGAGGAGCUUGCUCCUCUGACGUUAGCGGCGGACGGGUGAGUAACACGUGGAUAACCUACCUAUAAGACUGGGAUAACUUCGGGAAACCGGAGCUAAUACCGGAUAAUAUAUUGAACCGCAUGGUUCAAUAGUGAAAGACGGUUUUGCUGUCACUUAUAGAUGGAUCCGCGCCGCAUUAGCUAGUUGGUAAGGUAACGGCUUACCAAGGCAACGAUGCGUAGCCGACCUGAGAGGGUGAUCGGCCACACUGGAACUGAGACACGGUCCAGACUCCUACGGGAGGCAGCAGUAGGGAAUCUUCCGCAAUGGGCGAAAGCCUGACGGAGCAACGCCGCGUGAGUGAUGAAGGUCUUCGGAUCGUAAAACUCUGUUAUUAGGGAAGAACAAAUGUGUAAGUAACUAUGCACGUCUUGACGGUACCUAAUCAGAAAGCCACGGCUAACUACGUGCCAGCAGCCGCGGUAAUACGUAGGUGGCAAGCGUUAUCCGGAAUUAUUGGGCGUAAAGCGCGCGUAGGCGGUUUUUUAAGUCUGAUGUGAAAGCCCACGGCUCAACCGUGGAGGGUCAUUGGAAACUGGAAAACUUGAGUGCAGAAGAGGAAAGUGGAAUUCCAUGUGUAGCGGUGAAAUGCGCAGAGAUAUGGAGGAACACCAGUGGCGAAGGCGACUUUCUGGUCUGUAACUGACGCUGAUGUGCGAAAGCGUGGGGAUCAAACAGGAUUAGAUACCCUGGUAGUCCACGCCGUAAACGAUGAGUGCUAAGUGUUAGGGGGUUUCCGCCCCUUAGUGCUGCAGCUAACGCAUUAAGCACUCCGCCUGGGGAGUACGACCGCAAGGUUGAAACUCAAAGGAAUUGACGGGGGACCCGCACAAGCGGUGGAGCAUGUGGUUUAAUUCGAAGCAACGCGAAGAACCUUACCAAAUCUUGACAUCCUCUGACCCCUCUAGAGAUAGAGUUUUCCCCUUCGGGGGACAGAGUGACAGGUGGUGCAUGGUUGUCGUCAGCUCGUGUCGUGAGAUGUUGGGUUAAGUCCCGCAACGAGCGCAACCCUUAAGCUUAGUUGCCAUCAUUAAGUUGGGCACUCUAAGUUGACUGCCGGUGACAAACCGGAGGAAGGUGGGGAUGACGUCAAAUCAUCAUGCCCCUUAUGAUUUGG